rnacentral:rRNA from 1 species
AUGAUGUAUACACCAUGGAAUAUAUACUGGCCCAUCGUUCGUUCCAUCCAGAUUCCCAUAACCCCUCUCACACAUUUUUCUCCUGCCGUCUCUCUCCUCUCGUCGCACUACACCACGGCAGAGAUGAAUCCGACCAACCCUGCUUCACCGUCGUCCACCUUCCCGGCCACCGUAGAAAUCCCAAUGAGUCCUACGCAGAGUGCCGAAGAGGAAGCAGCAGCGGCCCUGCUCAUGCUAGCGGAAGUCCCCGGCGUCCAGGACGAGUUUGAUCUGGCGGACGAGGAAUACCAUCCCUUCCAAUCUCCACUUUCUUCAGCUGGCUCGUCCAAUAUUCAGGUACAGAACCGAUCCGAUGAAACAUGUAUAUUCUUUCUUUCUGUGCUGGUGCUGUAUUUCUUGGUUGAUCUGCUGAUUCGGCCGGCCGGAAUUUAA